rnacentral:rRNA from 1 species
GUAGGGGGCAAGCGUUAUCCGGAUUUACUGGGUGUAAAGGGAGCGUAGACGGAUGUGCAAGUCUGAUGUGAAAGGCGGGGGCUCAACCCCUGGACUGCAUUGGAAACUGUAAAUCUUGAGUGCCGGAGAGGUAAGCGGAAUUCCUAGUGUAGCGGUGAAAUGCGUAGAUAUUAGGAGGAACACCAGUGGCGAAGGCGGCUUACUGGACGGUAACUGACGUUGAGGCUCGAAAGCGUGGGGAGCAA